CGAGGGCUGGCAGGUGCGGACCGCGGCCGACGGCGCUUCGGCCGUGGAGACCGCGCGUGUGUUCCGUCCGCACGCCGUCGUCC
rnacentral:tRNA from 1 species